UGUUAUUGAAGGCAUUCUUACUCUCAUCUGGAAGUGGUUAGCUGUUCGGGUAUAAAGUGGUUCAGACCAUUUCCAGGCUCUCCACUGGAUCACAAUGGAGUGGACUGUGCUGCUGUGUCUGCUGUGUGUGCAGGUCUGUGUGCUCACCUCCACAUCCCUGCAAGCCCCACACAGAGCAGCUCUAGCAGAGGAGGGGAUCCAUGACAACAAAACUACGGAAGAGGUCCUUGAUGAGCUGUGGAAUCAAGUGGAGGCUGUUACAGACGCUCCUUUCCCAGAAUUAGGAGGAUGCAAACACAGACCAGGGGGGUGUUCCCCUUUAGCCCCAAACCAGGUCUCUAGGGACAAAAGACAGACCGACUCCAAGAGAAAAAGGGGAAGAAAGGCAAAGCCACCAUCCAGAAGUGGAGGUUUCUCCCUGCUUGGUAGUUCCAGGACUAAGAGGCAGGAAAAGAAACGACCAAGAACUCUUCCGGGAUCCGGCGGUGCCCUUGGACCACAAGGACCACCUGCACCAAAUGCACCAACUGGAACACAUGGACCACCCGCCCCGAUGUCUUAGAUUCUCUCACGCUGAAGCUUCCCUCUCAAGAUGUUUCACCUUAGACAAGCAGCAUGCGCCAUCUUGGGUCAGUCGGGGAGCAACUGAUUGCAGAUCAAGAGGUCAUGUGCCCCCUGUGUGUACUUUGCUUUCAUUAGAAGCGUCUGCUAAUAAGCGUCAUAAGUUUCCUCUUGUUUUUGACUGCUGUGUCCCCUUUCCCGAGUCUGGCAGUUUUAAACAGACUUUGGAGUGCGUUUAACAAAGAUCCUGAAGGAGAUCAGCUUCGGCUGAAAACGAUAUUCUGUGGUUGCCAGAUUCAGCACGUAACUUCUGUUUCUACCACUGGGUGACAAAAGUAAGCUGUAAUGUAUCAUGCAAUUAUUUUGUUAUUCAUAAUUUGAGUGCUUGCAUAGCUUGUAAACGCUGAAUAAAGUCAGUAACAAAAAUACA